rnacentral:misc_RNA from 1 species
AACCUUAUGGACCUGCGGGCGUAUACCUGCGGAAGGAUCAUUAAAGAGUGUAAAAGCUCCCUAAAACCAUCGUGAACCUAUCCCGUUAGCGUUGCUUCUCCGGCGGGCGGCCCCUAGGGGGGGCCAGCGCCCUGUGCGCCCGCCGGAGGCCAAAACUACCUGAAUUUUAUAGCGGCAUCUCUGAGUAAAACAAGCAAAAAAGUCAAAACUUUCAACAACGGAUCUCAGAUCGGAAGAGCA